rnacentral:SRP_RNA from 2 species
GCCAGGCAUGGCGGCGCAUCCCUGUAAUCCCAGCUACUCGGGAGGCUGAGGCAGGAGAAUUGCUUGAACUGGGGAGGCAGAGGUUGUGGUGAGCUGAGAUCAUGCCAUUGCACUCCAGCCUGGGCAACAAGAGCAAAACUCCAUCUCAAAAAAACAACAACAACAAUAAAAAAUUAAGAUGCUAGGCUAAUGUCUCUACAUUUCUCCAUUUCUGCUCGCCUUUUUUUUUGAGAUGGAGUCUUGCUCUGUCGCCCAGGCUGGAGUGUAGUGGCGCGAUCUCGGCUCACCACAACCUCUGCCUCCCGGGUUCAAGGGAUUCUUCUGCCUCAG